rnacentral:misc_RNA from 1 species
GGAUCUUCUUGUCCAUAUCAUCCUGUGAAGUUUUAAAUGAAAAGACAAGUUAAACAUGCCUCAUAGCUCCAGAUACAAGUAACCAUAUGCCACAUUGUCAUACCAGACAUGAGGAACAUACAAGUGCAGCAACAUCUAUUAAACCUUUUUUUUUUAAAAAAAGAACAAAGGAAAAUCCAUAUCAGUCAGCAGCAAAAUAAUAUCUAUACCUAAUAUAUGAAAGAAGAAAAAAUCUCAAGAAAAAUGUUAUCACCAUCAAAAGAGCAGUAGCACUAGCAGUCUAGGAUAGAUUUCUUCUGGGUGAAAAGCCAAUCAGAAAACUAACCAAACAUCAAAUUCUGACAGUAAAGAAGUAUCAACUCUUUGCUGGCCCAUGACAAUUAAAUAAAGGGGAUCUUGGAGGGAAAUACAGUAGCAAACCCAAUAUAUUUGAUAAAUUAACAUAAGACUUCGUAAAUCCAACACAUUGUAGGCAAGAAAACUAGGUUCUUCCUUGACUUUUACUUAUACUAUUGAUUUGUGACUCACUACAAAAUUCUUAAUUUUUGUCAUACCUAAUUCCCUGCUGUGUUUAUAGUUAACUGGCUAUAUACUUGCCUAUCCCAAUUAAGUCCUCUAUUUUUUAAUGAUUACCACUUUAAGUACAAUAGCUUUCUUCUUUACCUAAUACAUUUUUAGUGAUCAACUAUCCACC